AUGGAAUGCACGAUAUCAAAUAUUGUGCAGAUGAAGUGCCUCGGGGACGAAGAUGCUUGGAGACUUUUCAAGUACCAUGCGGGAGUUGAAAUCACAGAAGCUGAUGCUGAAAUUUACGAUUAUGCAAAACAGAUGGUCCGGGCAUGUGGUGGGUUGCCUAGAGGCAUAUGUGCCCUUGGCAAAGGCGUUGCCCGAGUGACUCGUGGUGGUAAGGAUCUAUUUGCUUGGCAGCUCGCGUACAGGAAAACCAUGGGAAGAAUUCGACAUCCCGAGCAAAUGCCAGAAAUAGCGUAUGUUCUGGUCUAG
rnacentral:rRNA from 1 species